rnacentral:rRNA from 1 species
AUGCAAGUCGAGGGGUAACAUAGUUUGCUUGCAAACUGAUGACGACCGGCGCACGGGUGCGGAACGCGUAUGGAACCUGCCCCUGUCAGGGGAAUAGCCCAGGGAAACUUGGAUUAAUGCCCCAUGGUAUCGUUUUAUCGCAUGAUAAGGUGAUUAAAGAUUUAUCGGACAGGGAUGGCCAUGCGUACCAUUAGUUAGAUGGUGGGGUAACGGCCCACCAUGGCAGCGAUGGUUAGGGGCCCUGAGAGGGGGAUCCCCCACACUGGUACUGAGACACGGACCAGACUCCUACGGGAGGCAGCAGUGAGGAAUAUUGGACAAUGGGCGGGAGCCUGAUCCAGCCAUGCCGCGUGCAGGAUGACGGCCCUAUGGGUUGUAAACUGCUUUUAUACGGGAAGAAACGCACCUACGUGUAGGUGUCUGACGGUACCGUAAGAAUAAGGACCGGCUAACUCCGUGCCAGCAGCCGCGGUAAUACGGAGGGCCCGAGCGUUAUCCGGAAUCAUUGGGUUUAAAGGGUCCGUAGGCGGGCAUGUAAGUCAGGGGUGAAAGUUUGUGGCUCAACCAUAAAAUUGCCUUUGAUACUGCAUGUCUUGAGUCAUGGUGGGGUUGCCGGAACAUGUGGUGUAGCGGUGAAAUGUAUAGAUAUCACAUAGAACACCGAUCGCGAAGGCAGGUGACCAACCAUGUACUGACGCUGAUGGACGAAAGCGUGGGUAGCGAACGGGAUUAGAUACCCCGGUAGUCCACGCCGUAAACGAUGGAUACUAGCUGUGGGGACUUCGGUCUCCGUGGCCAAGCGAAAGUGAUAAGUAUCCCACCUGGGGAGUACG